rnacentral:rRNA from 1 species
UCCUGACUGACCGAUAGUGAACCAGUACCGUGAGGGAAAGGCGAAAAGAACCCCGGCGAGGGGAGUGAAAAAGAACCUGAAACCGUGUACGUACAAGCAGUGGGAGCACGCUUAGGCGUGUGACUGCGUACCUUUUGUAUAAUGGGUCAGCGACUUAUAUUCUGUAGCAAGGUUAACCGAAUAGGGGAGCCGAAGGGAAACCGAGUCUUAACUGGGCGUUAAGUUGCAGGGUAUAGACCCGAAACCCGGUGAUCUAGCCAUGGGCAGGUUGAAGGUUGGGUAACACUAACUGGAGGACCGAACCGACUAAUGUUGAAAAAUUAGCGGAUGACUUGUGGCUGGGGGUGAAAGGCCAAUCAAACCGGGAGAUAGCUGGUUCUCCCCGAAAGCUAUUUAGGUAGCGCCUCGUGAAUUCAUCUCCGGGGGUAGAGCACUGUUUCGGCAAGGGGGUCAUCCCGACUUACCAACCCGAUGCAAACUGCGAAUACCGGAGAAUGUUAUCACGGGAGACACACGGCGGGUGCUAACGUCCGUCGUGAAGAGGGAAACAACCCAGACCGCCAGCUAAGGUCCCAAAGUCAUGGUUAAGUGGGAAACGAUGUGGGAAGGCCCAGACAGCCAGGAUGUUGGCUUAGAAGCAGCCAUCAUUUAAAGAAAGCGUAAUAGCUCACUGGUCGAGUCGGCCUGCGCGGAAGAUGUAACGGGGCUAAACCAUGCACCGAAGCUGCGGCAGCGACGCUUAUGCGUUGUUGGGUAGGGGAGCGUUCUGUAAGCCUGCGAAGGUGUGCUGUGAGGCAUGCUGGAGGUAUCAGAAGUGCGAAUGCUGACAUAAGUAACGAUAAAGCGGGUGAAAAGCCCGCUCGCCGGAAGACCAAGGGUUCCUGUCCAACGUUAAUCGGGGCAGGGUGAGUCGACCCCUAAGGCGAGGCCGAAAGGCGUAGUCGAUGGGAAACAGGUUAAUAUUCCUGUACUUGGUGUUACUGCGAAGGGGGGACGGAGAAGGCUAUGUUGGCCGGGCGACGGUUGUCCCGGUUUAAGCGUGUAGGCUGGUUUUCCAGGCAAAUCCGGAAAAUCAAGGCUGAGGCGUGAUGACGAGGCACUACGGUGCUGAAGCAACAAAUGCCCUGCUUCCAGGAAAAGCCUCUAAGCAUCAGGUAACAUCAAAUCGUACCCCAAACCGACACAGGUGGUCAGGUAGAGAAUACCAAGGCGCUUGAGAGAACUCGGGUGAAGGAACUAGGCAAAAUGGUGCCGUAACUUCGGGAGAAGGCACGCUGAUAUGUAGGUGAAGUCCCUUGCGGAUGGAGCUGAAAUCAGUCGAAGAUACCAGCUGGCUGCAACUGUUUAUUAAAAACACAGCACUGUGCAAACACGAAAGUGGACGUAUACGGUGUGACGCCUGCCCGGUGCCGGAAGGUUAAUUGAUGGGGUCAGCGCAAGCGAAGCUCUUGAUCGAAGCCCCGGUAAACGGCGGCCGUAACUAUAACGGUCCUAAGGUAGCGAAAUUCCUUGUCGGGUAAGUUCCGACCUGCACGAAUGGCGUAAUGAUGGCCAGGCUGUCUCCACCCGAGACUCAGUGAAAUUGAACUCGCUGUGAAGAUGCAGUGUACCCGCGGCAAGACGGAAAGACCCCGUGAACCUUUACUAUAGCUUGACACUGAACAUUGAGCCUUGAUGUGUAGGAUAGGUGGGAGGCUUUGAAGUGUGGACGCCAGUCUGCAUGGAGCCGGCCUUGAAAUACCACCCUUUAAUGUUUGAUGUUCUAACGUGGACCCGUGAUCCGGGUUGCGGACAGUGUCUGGUGGGUAGUUUGACUGGGGCGGUCUCCUCCUAAAGAGUAACGGAGGAGCACGAAGGUUGGCUAAUCCUGGUCGGACAUCAGGAGGUUAGUGCAAUGGCAUAAGCCAGCUUGACUGCGAGCGUGACGGCGCGAGCAGGUGCGAAAGCAGGUCAUAGUGAUCCGGUGGUUCUGAAUGGAAGGGCCAUCGCUCAACGGAUAAAAGGUACUCCGGGGAUAACAGGCUGAUACCGCCCAAGAGUUCAUAUCGACGGCGGUGUUUGGCACCUCGAUGUCGGCUCAUCACAUCCUGGGGCUGAAGUAGGUCCCAAGGGUAUGGCUGUUCGCCAUUUAAAGUGGUACGCGAGCUGGGUUUAGAACGUCGUGAGACAGUUCGGUCCCUAUCUGCCGUGGGCGCUGGAGAACUGAGGGGGGCUGCUCCUAGUACGAGAGGACCGGAGUGGACGCAUCACUGGUGUUCGGGU